UACAGAGGUCCCAAGCGUUGUUCGGAUUUACUGGGCGUAAAGGAUGCGUAGGAGGUUGUCUAAGUCGGAUGUGAAAUCUUGCAGCUUAACUGCGAAACUGCAUUCGAUACUGGAUAGCUGGAGGAUCGGAGAGGUCGCUGGAAUUCUCGGUGUAGCGGUGAAAUGCGUAGAUAUCGAGAGGAACAUCAAUUGCGAAAGCAAGCGACUGGAAGAUACCUGACUCUGAGGCAUGAAAGCCAGGGGAGCAAAC
rnacentral:rRNA from 1 species